ACGCUGGCGGCGUGCUUAACACAUGCAAGUCGAACGGAAAGGCCCUGCUUUUGUGGGGUGCUCGAGUGGCGAACGGGUGAGUAACACGUGAGUAACCUGCCCUUGACUUUGGGAUAACUUCAGGAAACUGGGGCUAAUACCGGAUAGGAGCUCCUGCUGCAUGGUGGGGGUUGGAAAGUUUCGGCGGUUGGGGAUGGACUCGCGGCUUAUCAGCUUGUUGGUGGGGUAGUGGCUUACCAAGGCUUUGACGGGUAGCCGGCCUGAGAGGGUGACCGGCCACAUUGGGACUGAGAUACGGCCCAGACUCCUACGGGAGGCAGCAGUGGGGAAUAUUGCACAAUGGGCGGAAGCCUGAUGCAGCAACGCCGCGUGCGGGAUGACGGCCUUCGGGUUGUAAACCGCUUUCGCCUGUGACGAAGCGUGAGUGACGGUAAUGGGUAAAGAAGCACCGGCUAACUACGUGCCAGCAGCCGCGGUGAUACGUAGGGUGCGAGCGUUGUCCGGAUUUAUUGGGCGUAAAGGGCUCGUAGGUGGUUGAUCGCGUCGGAAGUGUAAUCUUGGGGCUUAACCCUGAGCGUGCUUUCGAUACGGGUUGACUUGAGGAAGGUAGGGGAGAAUGGAAUUCCUGGUGGAGCGGUGGAAUGCGCAGAUAUCAGGAGGAACACCAGUGGCGAAGGCGGUUCUCUGGGCCUUUCCUGACGCUGAGGAGCGAAAGCGUGGGGAGCGAACAGGCUUAGAUACCCUGGUAGUCCACGCUGUAAACGGUGGGUACUAGGUGUGGGGUCCAUUCCACGGGUUCCGUGCCGUAGCUAACGCUUUAAGUACCCCGCCUGGGGAGUACGGCCGCAAGGCUAAAACUCAAAGGAAUUGACGGGGCCCCGCACAAGCGGCGGAGCAUGCGGAUUAAUUCGAUGCAACGCGUAGAACCUUACCUGGGUUUGACAUGGAUCGGGAGUGCUCAGAGAUGGGUGUGCCUCUUUUGGGGUCGGUUCACAGGUGGUGCAUGGCUGUCGUCAGCUCGUGUCGUGAGAUGUUGGGUUAAGUCCCGCAACGAGCGCAACCCUUGUUCACUGUUGCCAGCACGUUAUGGUGGGGACUCAGUGGAGACCGCCGGGGUCAACUCGGAGGAAGGUGGGGAUGACGUCAAGUCAUCAUGCCCCUUAUGUCCAGGGCUUCACGCAUGCUACAAUGGCUGGUACAGAGAGUGGCGAGCCUGUGAGGGUGAGCGAAUCUCGGAAAGCCGGUCUCAGUUCGGAUUGGGGUCUGCAACUCGACCUCAUGAAGUCGGAGUCGCUAGUAAUCGCAGAUCAGCAACGCUGCGGUGAAUACGUUCCCGGGGCUUGUACACACCGCCCGUCAAGUCAUGAAAGUUGGUAACACCCGAAGCCGGUGGCCUAACCGUUGUGGGGGAGCCGUCGAAGGUGGGACUGGUGAUUAG
rnacentral:rRNA from 1 species